rnacentral:rRNA from 1 species
UAGGGAAUCUUCGGCAAUGGGGGGAACCCUGACCGAGCAACGCCGCGUGAGUGAAGAAGGUUUUCGGAUCGUAAAGCUCUGUUGUUAAGGAAGAACGAGUGUGAGAAUGGAAAGUUCAUACUGUGACGGUACUUAACCAGAAAGGGACGGCUAACUACGUGCCAGCAGCCGCGGUAAUACGUAGGUCCCGAGCGUUGUCCGGAUUUAUUGGGCGUAAAGCGAGCGCAGGCGGUUAGAUAAGUCUGAAGUUAAAGGCAGUGGCUCAACCAUUGUAGGCUUUGGAAACUGUUUAACUUGAGUGCAGAAGGGGGGAGUGGAAUUCCAUGUGUAGCGGUGAAAUGCGUAGAUAUAUGGAGGAACACCGGUGGCGAAAGCGGCUCUCUGGUCUGUAACUGACGCGGAGGCUAGAAAGCGUGGGGAGCGAACAGG